rfam:Trichobilharzia regenti genome assembly, scaffold: TRE_scaffold0001238
AGCCCCCUGUAUCCAUGCCGUGAUUUCAUCAGAGAUCAACCCGUUGGGGCUGAUGGUACUUCCAAAAUAAGUGAAGCG